rnacentral:miRNA from 1 species
AAGCUCGUUUCUAUGGGUCUG